rnacentral:snRNA from 1 species
UCUGGUUUCUCUGCAGAUUGUUUAAAUCUUUUGCCUUUUACAAAAGAUUUCUGUGGAGAGGAACAGUUAUAUGA